CAGUCGAGCGCAGGAAGCAAGNUGAUCCCCUUCGGGGGUGACGCUUGUGGAAUGAGCGGCGGACGGGUGAGUAACACGUGGGCAACCUGCCUGUAAGACUGGGAUAACCCCGGGAAACCGGGGCUAAUACCGGAUAAUACUUUCUUUUGCAUAAAGGAAAGUUGAAAGGCGGCUUCGGCUGUCACUUACAGAUGGGCCCGCGGCGCAUUAGCUAGUUGGUGAGGUAACGGCUCACCAAGGCGACGAUGCGUAGCCGACCUGAGAGGGUGAUCGGCCACACUGGGACUGAGACACGGCCCAGACUCCUACGGGAGGCAGCAGUAGGGAAUCUUCCGCAAUGGACGAAAGUCUGACGGAGCAACGCCGCGUGAGUGAUGAAGGUUUUCGGAUCGUAAAACUCUGUUGUUAGGGAAGAACAAGUUGGGUAGUAACUGACCCAACCUUGACGGUACCUAACCAGAAAGCCACGGCUAACUACGUGCCAGCAGCCGCGGUAAUACGUAGGUGGCAAGCGUUGUCCGGAAUUAUUGGGCGUAAAGCGCUCGCAGGCGGUCCUUUAAGUCUGAUGUGAAAUCUCGCGGCUCAACCGCGAACGGUCAUUGGAAACUGGAGGACUUGAGUACAGAAGAGGAGAGUGGAAUUCCACGUGUAGCGGUGAAAUGCGUAGAGAUGUGGAGGAACACCAGUGGCGAAGGCGACUCUCUGGUCUGUAACUGACGCUGAGGAGCGAAAGCGUGGGGAGCGAACAGGAUUAGAUACCCUGGUAGUCCACGCCGUAAACGAUGAGUGCUAGGUGUUAGGGGGUUUCCGCCCCUUAGUGCUGAAGUUAACGCAUUAAGCACUCCGCCUGGGGAGUACGGCCGCAAGGCUGAAACUCAAAAGAAUUGACGGGGGCCCGCACAAGCGGUGGAGCAUGUGGUUUAAUUCGAAGCAACGCGAGAACCUUACCAGUCUUGACAUCCUCUGCUAUUCCUAGAGAUAGGAAGUUCCCUUCGGGACAGAGUGACAGUGGUGCAUGGUGUCGUCAGCUCGUGUCGUGAGAUGUGGGUAGUCCCGCACG
rnacentral:rRNA from 2 species